GGCGGAUUGGAUCCAGAUGACGGGAAAGUUGGGCAAAAUAAAGUUUACCCUAUGGUGCAAGCAGUAACUCUCAAGGUUCAACUCCUUGGUCCGCCACCA
rnacentral:tRNA from 1 species